UUUAGAAUUGAGAGGCUUCAGAUCGCAUCCUGACUCAGCCCUGGACCCUCACCUUGACCUUGGAAACAUUAAGAGCCCCCAGCCCGGUCACUCCAUCUUUGCCAGCUUUACUGAGGGCAAUUGGGCAAAAGUGAUACAUUAUUUAAUGUGACAAUGUUUUGUCCCGAAGCUAAUUAAUUGCAUAAUUGCUGCAAUCAUUUCUUCUGCUGUUUAUUCGCCCGCCCCUCCCUCCUUCUUCUCUAAAUAUAACUUGUUUCUUCAUCAGUAUUAAAAAAUGUACAGUCUCAUUGUAGAAAAAAAGAGGGUGAGCCAAAAGAAGAAAAUAAAACACCCUUAUCUUGCUGUUAGCACUGUGUCAA